GACGAACGCUGGCGGCGUGCUUAACACAUGCAAGUCGAACGAAGUGGCGAACGGGUGAGUAACGCGUAAUCAACUUGCCCUUCAGAGGGGGACAACAGUUGGAAACGACUGCUAAUACCGCAUACUGAAGGUGGGGAUUGCGUCUGAUUAGCUAGUUGGAGGGGUAACGGCCCACCAAGGCGAUGAUCAGUAGACGGUCUGGGAGGAUGGACGGCCACAUUGGGACUGGGACAAGGCCCAGACUCCUACGGGAGGCAGCAGGGGGGAAUCUUCCGCAAUGGGCGAAAAUCUGGCGGAGCAAAGCCGCGUGAGUGAAGACAGCGUUCGGGUUGUAAAGCUCUGUUAAUCGGGACGCGGUACCGAAAUAGAAAGCCACGGCUAACUACGUGCCAGCAGCCGCGGUAAUUC
rnacentral:rRNA from 1 species